GAACCGUCCAAACGUUUAUUCGGAAUUACUGGGCUUAAAGGGUGCGUAGGCGGCCCGGCAAGUUGGGUGUGAAAUCCCUCGGCUCAACCGAGGAACUGCGCCCAAAACUGCCGGACUCGAGGGAGACAGGGGUGAGCGGAACUUAGGGUGGAGCGGUGAAAUGCGUUGAUAUCCUAAGGAACACCGGUGGCGAAGGCGGCUCACUGGGUCUCUUCUGACGCUGAGGCACGAAAGCUAGGGUAGCGAACAGGAUUAGAUACCCUGGUAGUCCUAGCUGUAAACGAUGAGCACUGGGUUGGAGGGGCUCCCCAUACCCCUUCCCGAUCGUAGCGAAAGUGUUAAGUGCUCCGCCUGGGGAGUAUGGUCGCAAGGCUG
rnacentral:rRNA from 1 species